UACAGAGGUGGCAAGCGUUGUUCGGAAUUACUGGGCGUAAAGGGCGCGUAGGCGGGCUUCUAAGUCUUGUGUGAAAUCCCUCGGCUCAACUGAGGAACUGCACGGGAUACUGGAAGACUUGAGUUCGGGAGAGGGAAGCGGAAUUCCGGGUGUAGCGGUGAAAUGCGUAGAUAUCCGGAGGAACACCGGUGGCGAAGGCGGGUCUCUGGGCCGUAACUGACGCUGAGGAGCGAAAGCGUGGGGAGCGAACAGG
rnacentral:rRNA from 1 species